UAGAAUUGACGGGGCCGCACAAGCGGUGGAGCAUGUGGUUUAAUCGAAGCAACGCGAGAACCUUACCAGGUCUUGACAUCCCGAUGCUAUUUCUAGAGAUAGAAGUUACUUCGGUACAUCGGUGACAGGUGGUGCAUGGUUGUCGUCAGCUCGUGUCGUGAGAUGUUGGGUUAAGUCCCGCAACGAGCGCAACCCCUAUUGUUAGUUGCCAUCAUUCAGUUGGGCACUCUAGCGAGACUGCCGGUAAUAAACCGGAGGAAGGUGGGAUGACGUCAAAUCAUCAUGCCCCUUAUGACCUGGGCUACACACGUGCUACAAUGGUUGGUACAACGAGUUGCGAGUCGGUGACGGCGAGCUAAUCUCUUAAAGCCAAUCUCAGUUCGGAUUGUAGGCUGCAACUCGCCUACAUGAAGUCGGAAUCGCUAGUAAUCGCGGAUCAGCACGCCGCGGUGAAUACGUUCCCGGGCCUU
rnacentral:rRNA from 1 species